rnacentral:rRNA from 1 species
GAUGAACGCUGGCGGCGUGCCUAAUACAUGCAAGUCGAACGAAAUUAUUUUAAUAGAAGAUUACUUGUAAUUGGAAGUUAAAAUUAAUUUAGUGGCGAACGGGUGAGUAAUACAUAAGUAAUCUGCCCUUAAAGGACCGGGAUAAACUGUUGGAAACGAUGGCUAAUACCGGAUAAAGUAAUUGGAAGGCAUCUUCUAAUUAUUAAAGUUUAAAUACACACAAGGAUGAGCUUAUGGUGCAUUAGCUAGUUGGUGGGUAACGGCUACCAAGGCUGUGAUGCAUAGCCGACCUGAGAGGGUGGAUCGGCCACACU